CUCAAAGUCCACAUGCUCCUGGGCCAGACCCAAGAUGAAGAGCGGUGCCCAGCAGCUUUUAAGAAGUGCAAACUGGUCAUUUGAUGGCAUCUGGUUAAACGCAGCCAAGAAGCAUGAAACCAUCAUCAUGGAAGUUCUAGAGGAAGAUCUGAACCACAGAGCACUGUGGUGCCAAGUUUUCCCAGGUCAUUGAACUCAGUGCGUGAUGAACACCGUGUCUGGACCAUGACAACUGACCUUGACCUACUGCUAAUACAGCAGAGGUUCAUCUGCCAAGGUCAUUACCCCAAAGGUGACGGCUAUUCUUACACCGUGGCGGUCAUUUCAAUCCUCAGGAAAAAUUAUUUAUCCUGGAAUUUGAAAUUGAGUGAAUUCAC